rnacentral:sRNA from 1 species
GACCCAAGUUUCUCCCAGGGUUUCAGGUUGACUUGGCACCUUGAAGAGUGGAGGCUUGGCCCCCAGGAUGAGGCGGCCCUCGAAAUCGAUGCCACCCACGGGGGGAUGAUUCUGCGGUGCCAUCCCUUUCAUAAACGCAGAUUCCUUCAUAAAGCUGCACAGCUGCAGAAGGAACAGCGCGAGGAGGGAGGGGCAGACACUGGCCUCAGAUACCUGACCUGGUACCCUCUAUGAGGCCAGCGGUGCUGGGCUCCCCAGACCGAGCACCCCCAGAAGAUGAGGGGCCUGUCAUGGUGAAGCUAGAGGACUCUGAGGAGGAGGGUGAGGCUGCCCUAUGGGACCCAGGCCCUGAAGCUGCACGCCUGCGUUUCCGGUGCUUCCGCUAUGAGGAGGCCACAGGGCCCCAAGAGGCCCUGGCCCAGCUCCGAGAGCUGUGUCGCCAGUGGCUGCGUCCAGAGGUACGCUCCAAGGAGCAGAUGCUGGAGCUGUUGGUGCUGGAGCAGUUCCUGGGCGCACUGCCCCCUGAGAUCCAGGCCUGUGUGCAGGGGCAGCGGCCAGGCAGCCCCGAGGAGGCUGCUGCCCUAGUAGAUGGGCUGCGCCGGGAGCCAGGCGGACCUCGGAGAUGGGUGAGUGAGUGUCCAUGAGUGGGGUUCAGGACUGGAGCAUCAUCCAGCUCGGCCUCACCCUGGGUAGCACCACGCUUUGCCAGACACACGUUAUCCCUUGUGGUACAGAAGUGGCCACCUGCAACAGAGACCCUGUGCAAGGCUGCCCAGGGCAGAGGGAUUCCAGGGCCAGACUCCCACACCCAUUCCUGCAUCACCUGCAGUCACGUGGACAUAGGAGCUGCAGGCUAGGGGGAUAUGGGGAAGGUACUGGAAGGCCAGGGUGUCAGAGCAGGGGAGGGACUGCAGGUGGUCCCUUCGUUCUUUGCUUAGGGCCUAGGGGAGGUAGGUCCUUGGAGGACCUAGUCAGUAGGUAUUUACGAGGCGGGCCCCUGGGAUCCUACAGUGGGAUGGGCACCCACAAACCCCAGGUUGCGGCCAGCCUCACUCUCUGGUAGGACCUCUGAUGGUGGGGGCACCUCCCCAGGUCACAGUCCAGGUGCAGGGCCAGGAGGUCCUAUCAGAGAAGAUGGAGCCCUCCAGUUUCCAGCCCCUACCUCAAACUGAGCCUCCAACUCCAGAGCCUGGGCCCAAGACACCUCCUAGGACUAUGCAGGAAUCACCACUGGGCCUGCAGGUGAAAGAGGAGCCAGAGGUUACAGAGGACUCAGAUUUCCUGGAGUCUGGGCCUCUAGCUGCCACCCAGGAGUCUGUACCCACCCUCCUGCCUGAGGAGGCCCAGAGAUGUGGGACCAUGCUGGACCAGGCCUUUCCCCACAGCAAGACUGGGCCUGAGGGUCCCUCAU